GUCUCUAUUAGGGUCCUCCUUGUUUCCUAGCUUCUCUGAUGGUGUGGAUUGUAGGCUGGUAAUCCUUUGCUCUGUGUCUAAAAUCCAUAUAUGAGUGAGUAAUACCAUGUUUGUCUUUUUGUGACUGGUAGACGAGGAUCUUAAGGCUAGAAUGGAACUACUUUAAGUCUCUCUUCACAGUGAGCCCCCCUUCUCUGCCUGCCUGAGAGCCCAGAGCAGUGGUUCUCACCCUUCCUAAUGCUACAACCCUUUAAUAAGUUCCUCAUGUUGUAGUAACCCCCCUACAAUAAAAUUAUUUUUGUUGCUACUUCAUAACUGUAAUUUUGUUGCUGUUAUGAAUUGUAAUGUAAAUAUCCAUGUUUUCUGAGGGUCUUUAGGUGACCCCUGUGAAAGGGUCAUUUGAUCCCCAAAAGGGUUGUGACUCACAGCUUGAGAACCACCGUCCUGGAGGUUCUUUCAGAGGCCAGGAUAAUGAGUGAAAAGAUGCCAGGCAGAAGCCAUAGUCAUUUUGACAAAAUCUAAAAGGGUUUUAGAAGGAAGGAAGGGGCUGAUGUUGUUACCACUGCAGCAGCCCAGGAAGAGCAAUGUGAGGCCCCAGCCAUAGGACCUGUUUGAAUCUCUCCGUCCCCGCUCCUUGGGAGCAGGGAGUGUUGAUGUAUAGGAAGCAGAGGACAGGUAAAUCCGUGUUUGCCUCAACACGGACUAGGACUACAGCCUGGGGCCUAUGGCGCUGAUUCACUUGGGUGAGUCCCAGGAGGCUGAAGGGGGUGGAGGAAGAGUCAGGCUGCAGCUAUGAAGUGGAAGAGCAGCCACUAAAGCCUGGGACAAGGGAUGAUGAAGAGUCAUACUGAGACUGGAAUUUGGGAUGGGUUCAUUACAUGAAGGCUUCAUUGCCUGGAGGCCUCCUCCUGUCAUGAGGGCAGUGACACCUACCAGGCAUGUAAUGACAGUUGGGGAGGGAAGAUGCUGCAACAGGACACGGCAUGAUCACCUCCAAGAUAACCCAUCUGGCCUGGAUGUCUUCUUCAGACAUCCUUCCCUGUCCCCUGACCCUCCAGGCCUCAGCCUCAAUGGAACAUCGAAUGAGCAGUAAUUACACUGGCCAGGUCCCAUCUGUCAAUCCCAAGAGAACUCACUGCACUGGCAGGUGGCAGGAAAUCUGACUCCUGCUCAGAAGGGACAUCUAAUCCUUUCGUGGCUCGGGUCAUCAGUGACUAGGUAAGCAUAAAAACAGCAUCGUAGCCUCCUAGGACAGAAAGAAUGAGGGAAAGAUGGGGCCAAUAAGUUUGGGACAGUCACUGUUGCCAUCUGAAUGGCUUUCUUCAGGUGCUUUCUGUGUGUUAACUACUUUUCUCACUGCCAUGACAAAUAAAAGCUACAAAAGAAAGGGUUUUAGUCGCA
rnacentral:lncRNA from 1 species